GUCGAUCUACCGAUUGACGUCAGUCGUGAGCUCAUAUGUCGUAGUCACCGAUCUACGUCAGUUCAGACCGCUGACGCGUCUCAGCGCAUGGAUGCAUCGUACGUCACUCGGCGAGUAGCUCGUUACUGCUGUCGACGAGUGCUAUAGCUGAUCUAGCGUACGUAGAUAGCCAGCUACUCUGCUGCAGCCGUAUCGUAGUCGACGUAUCGAUCUGCUAGCUGGCAGCGUUAGUAGCAGAUUGAUGCUGCUCACUCGACUGCAUAGUGACUGCAUAGCUGAGUACGCAGAGAGAUGAUCGCUGUAGCAGUGAUGCGUAGAUAUGCGAGACACGAUGCGAGCAUCCUGGCUGUACUGACGCUCAUGCACGAAGCGUGGAGCAACAGAUAGAUACUGUAGUCACGCCUACGAUGUCACUGUUGUGGUCUUCACUGACUCAGUACGAGCUACGCGUGAGUUGACCGCCUGGGAGUACGCCGCAGUUGAACUCAAUGAAUUGACGGGACCCGCACAGCGGUGAUGAUGUGGUUAAUUCGAUGCAACGCGAAAACCUUACCCACCUUGACAUGUACAGAAGUUACCAGAGAUGGUUUCGUGCUCGAAAGAGAACCGUAACACAGGUGCUGCAUGGCUGUCGUCAGCUCGUGUCGUGAGAUGUUGGGUUAAGUCCCGCAACGAGCGCAACCCUUGUCAUUAGUUGCUACGAAAGGGCACUCUAAUGAGACUGCCGGUGACAAACCGGAGGAAGGUGGGGAUGACGUCAAGUCCUCAUGGCCCUUAUAGGUGGGGCUACACACGUCAUACAAUGGCUGGUACAGAGGGUUGCCAACCCGCGAGGGGGAGCUAAUCCCAUAAAACCAGUCGUAGUCCGGAUCGCAGUCUGCAACUCGACUGCGUGAAGUCGGAAUCGCUAGUAAUCGCGGAUCAGAAUUCCUACUGAUUCGA
rnacentral:rRNA from 1 species